UCAAUUAAAAUUUAAAAAGCCUCACGAUACAAAAUCUUGAGCACAUGUACAAAAAUGGCAGCAUACGCACUAGCAUUUGUGCUGAUCACGGUGGCAACGACGAGCGGCCGCGUGAUCUUGGCGGAGGCGCGUGGUUUGCUAGAAACCAAUUUGCUUGAGCUUCCUCCACCGGAGGAAGCAGAAGACGAGCUCGAAGCCGCAUCGCCUACGGUGGAAUUGCCUCCAAUUCCUCCAGCUGAUCAUAACAACACCCCUGCAUAAUUUCCUACGGAGCAAGUAGUUUAUGUCUUUUUUCACGGGUAAUUGCGCGUCUAUAUAUACAAACUUUCACCAAAUUCUUAUUUCGCAUAUAUGAAUUAAAAGUUUCGUCUUCAAAUACACAAACUUUCAAUUGUUCUGUCACGCAGUUGUUAAUUCUCGGUGGAUCAAUGCCAUCAUGUCUAGAUGACAUAUAUAUCGUAGCCAACUACGUUGUUUAAUUAAUACAUCGACCAUUUAAGUCUUGUAGACAUUUUAGGCGUCCACCUCGGCGUUAAUUUGGGGGGGGUUGUCAAAAGUGUGAAAAAUUAGAACAAUUAAAUUUUCUUGUAUCAACUUGGAGGCAAUAUUUUUGGUUUAUUUGCAAAACAAGAAUUUAGUGAAAGUUAGUAUAUUUAAGUGUAACGAUUUUCUUUUUAACUCGUGACCUCAACUUUAAUUUAUUUUUAAAAUACAUGAUGAUAUAUGACUAGGCUCAUUCGAUAAAAAAAUGUUUACGAAUGAGCCUAGUAAUUGAUCGCCGAUCGAUCGGGCUCCGCAUGCCAUCGCGCCCCGCCUCAUCUAGUUAGAGUUAUAUUAGGUAAAUGACAGUACUCUUACUAACAACAAAUGACACUUUAAUCAAUAUAAAAUGAAAUUAUACACAUAAAACAUGAAAUUAAACAAAUGAUAUUUAUUUUUAAUAAAAAUGAUAUAUACUUUGAUACCAUUUUUGAAAAGAUAUAGAUGUGGUCUUGGAUAUAACCGAGUGUACCGUACAACCGGGUUGCACCCUCACUCAGACCUUGAUCCGCACCCUAAUCUGAACCCGUAUCCUGACCCGAACCUUAUAAAUAACACUAUUUUGGGUGCGGAUCAACCCGGUUGUACGGUACACCCGAUUGUACUCAAGUUUAUGUGAAAUAUAUAUUUGAGCUUUUUUUACCAAUAGUCCCAACUACCUCAACCUCAUCUAGGAUGCUGGCUAUUCCUUAGCCAUACAUUUACUGAUUUUUGUAGACAAAUGAAUUAAUUAACGUUGUACACUUGUACCACGCCACUUCAUCAACCGUUACCUUAUUUUAACACAUUUAUGACAUAACUUUCAUCAAAUUAUGCACUUAUAUUUGCUGCUACACUCACACUCGCUCACAGUGCUUUAAUUAAUUUCUUUUUUCUUUGAAAAGUCAGAAAAUUAUUGAUGAAAACGAGUACAAGGGGUAUUCGAAAUCCUUACACGACGGACUUAUCAUUUGAGGAUAGACGGAAUACAUGCAAACAACGAAGAAUACCAAUCAUGAAUUGAGUAAAAAAAAGACCAAAUCCGCUUCUAUGAUCGGAUUUUGAUUUCUUCGACAAAACAUGCACAUUGCCAAAUAAUGUUAAAAUCUUGGAUUAUUGGCUGUCUUUCCUCUUUGAAUACUAAAAUGAGGAAAAUGGCUCUAAUUAUGUAUGUUAAAACACUUUCUUCAAAUUUCAUAAGAGAAUUAAUUUACAAGAACACAUCAGAUUAUCAAUAUCUUCAAGUUAUAGGAACACACAAUACAUAUUUUAUCUUGAUCAUCAAUAACGUAGUGCCUUAAAGAAAAGAAGAUACCUUACUUGGGAUACCUUUGCACCACAAUUUAGUCUCAGUCGCGGUAGAUACCUAGCUCAUUGAAAAGUGCAUUGUAUAUUGAUUUCGUUGAGAAACUCGAAAAUACCAAUUUAGGGGUGCGUAGGGUUGACUGUGACUUGAGAAUGGGGGUCGAAUCAGGGUUUAGGGUUUAGGAUUCAUAAUUUGAGUUGAUCAUGAGUCAACUACUUAAUUACUAAGAGUGAAAGUCGAGUGUGUGUGUGUUAGCCAAGUAGUAAGGGGUUAAUGCCUAAGGCCAAAGUCUUGGGUUCGAAUCCCAUGUGGCGCGGUCUUUAAAUUUCUUUAUUUAAUACUGUUAAUUGUGAAAGGUCGAAGGUGUCUAUGUUAUGUUAACUAGACUAAUUCAUCUAGUUUUGAAAUAGUGUGUUUCUAUUGCUACAAUAUUCAUGAACAUGUAUUUUUUUUUUUUGCAGUGAACCAUGUGAAGAUGGCACUUCAUAACAAGGUGGGAGAUUAUUUACUUGAAGAUUCACCAAUGCUUUAUAUUAAAAGUGCUUUUUAAAAUUAGUAAAAAAAAAAAGUGCUUUUUUUUAAAAAUAAAUACAAAAUAUAGACCCAGUCAUUGAUAAAUUUCACAUAUUCAAAAUAUAUAUUUUGAUAUGUACAAAAUUUGAUUCGCCAAAGUGUUUAUUUUUCAAUCAAUUACAUUAUCAAAUUCUGGAUCCGCCCCUAAGAUCGAUCACCAAUAUUGCUUCAUUUUUGAAGUGAAGAUGUGCAAUACUUUUGAAACAUAGACAUAUUUGAUACCAUCUCAAUGUUGGAACAUUACCUAAUAUUUUCCUAAAAUAAAUUCCCCAACAACUUGGCCAAACUUCAUCAACAUAUCACGUGGUAACCAUUAACCAAUACUAAAUUGCAUUGCACUAAAAAUAAUUUACUUGGCUUCCACCAAUCACACCCUUUUCUACAAUUUUCCUUUUAUUUGGGGAAACUAUAUAUGGUGCCACCAACAACCAUAUGGCAGGCCCUUUAAGAUCAAAGUUGAAAUAAGUUGAGGCAAUUUUAAUUGAAAUAAAUGCACCCUAUUCAACUCAACCCCAUCAUUUAGCCUAUAAAUUCCCCCCUCAUUUCUUACAUUCUGGUCAAAUCAAAUCAAAUCGAACAGAAUCGUAUUAACUGAGUGUCUACUAUACCUAGUAAACACCAACUAGGCAUUGCUUGUCUUACAACUAGUCAACAUGUCUCUUUUCUUCUUCCAAGUCCUCAUUCCCUCAUUCUCAUGGCUCUCAUUUUCCAGGCGUCGGCGGCCGGAAACCGCCGGCUCCUGACUUUCCCGGGCUUCGGGAUUCCGCCCUACAGGACACUCCCGACGCCCUCGUUUCUGCCGCCGCUCCCCCCUUCUCCGCCCAGCCUCGCAUUCCUCGGCACCUCCCCAUAUCUUCCCAUCAUUCCACCUCCCUCAGCUAUCACCACCCCAUAGAAAUAUUGUGUUACUUCAAUGUUGGGGUUGGUGUAGCUAUAGUGUGUGAGAAGUGUGCUGAUUCCAUCCAUGUGAGGAAUAAAUAUAUAUGAUGUAUUGAAAUAAGGAAGCAUUGUUGUUAGUUUUAAAGUGCAUUGUCUUAACUAGUAAUUGUGGGUGACUUUACCUAGCUAGCUACUUGCUUUUCCUAAUGUGUAAUGUCUUAUGAUAUGUUGGAUUUCUUGUUAUGGGAAUAUUAUUAAUUCGUUAUUGCGAGUCCUUUUUUUUUUUUUUAUCAAUUUAGAUCCUCUAUUGUUUUCAGUUUGUAACAUGAAUAUGGUACAAAAUUAUUGCAAUUUUUUGCUCCCCUUAUAGAAGAUACACAUACACUUCGAGUACACAAUUGGAUAUAGACUACAACAAAAAAUUAACUACAUAUAACUUUAAUGCAUCAUACCAAAUAAUGAACUAUAUAUUACAAAUAUUUUAUGUAUUCUAUCAAACAUAAUAUUAAUAUGAUAUAUAAUAAAAG
rnacentral:lncRNA from 1 species